rnacentral:lncRNA from 1 species
GCCACUUAGCGGAACAUUGACAUCACGAGCAGUUCAGACCCUGGUGGGAUAUCAUCGUUGCAUACUUCGGGUGUGUAUAUGAUGGUAUUCUGCGAAAGGUUAUUUAUGUUGCGUUUCUUUCGACUUUACCCUGGCCUAGAUGACACCCGUGAGUGGGAGGGGAUAAUUAUUACAGGUACUGUUGCUGACUUGUUGGUGACUGGUUG